GGAGCGUAGCGCAGUCUGGUAGCGCACCUGAUUUGGGAUCAGGGGGUCGCAGGUUCGAAUCCUGCCGCUCCGACCAU
rnacentral:tRNA from 1 species